rnacentral:rRNA from 1 species
AGAGUUUGAUCAUGGCUCAGAAUGAACGUUGGCGGCGUGGAUUAGGCAUGCAAGUCGAACGGGCCCGGUCGCAAGAUCGGGUCAGUGGCGCAAGGGUGAGUAAGGCGACGGUAACCAACCCCAUGGUCGGGUAUAGCCGCGGGAAACUGCGGGUAAUCCCCAGCGACGUAAGGGACCGGCAUCGGUUUUUUACCAAAGCUCCGGCGCCGUGGGACGGGCCGUUGUGGUAUUAGGUAGUUGGCGGGGUAACGGCCCACCAAGCCGAUGAUGCCUACCGGGCGUGCGAGCGUGGCCCGGCACACUGGGACUGAGACACUGCCCAGACUCCUACGGGAGGCUGCAGUCGAGAAUCUUCGGCAAUGGGCGCAAGCCUGACCGAGCGACGCCGCGUGGAGGAUGAAGGCCUUCGGGUUGUAAACUCCUGUCGGGGGGGAGGAAGGCGCAAGCUUGACCGAUCCCUGGAGGAAGCACGGGCUAAGUUCGUGCCAGCAGCCGCGGUAAGACGAACCGUGCGAACGUUAUUCGGAAUCACUGGGCUUAAAGCGCGUGUAGGCGGAUGGGAACGUCGGUAGUUGAAAGCCCCCGGCUCAACCGGGGAAGUGGUGCCGAAACGACCCGUCUGGAGGGACGUAGGGGGACCUGGAACUUCCGGUGGAGCGGUGAAAUGCGUUGAGAUCGGAAGGAACGCCCGUGGCGAAAGCGAGGUCCUGGACGUCUACUGACGCUGAGACGCGAAAGCUAGGGGAGCAAACGGGAUUAGAUACCCUAGUAGUCC